GUCUAUGGCCAUGCCACCCUGAAAAAGCCUGAUCCCAUCUGAUCUCGGAAGCUAUGCAGGUUCAGGCCUGGUUAGUACUUGGAUGGGAGACCACCUAGGAAGACCAGGUGCUAUAGGCA
rnacentral:rRNA from 1 species